UAAGGAAUAUUGGACAAUGGAGGCAACUCUGAUCCAGCCAUGCCGCGUGAAGGAAUAAGGCCCUAUGGGUUGUAAACUUCUUUUAGACGGGACAAAACCCCUUUACGUGUAAAGGGUUGAUGGUACUGUCAGAAUAAGCAUCGGCUAACUUCGUGCCAGCAGCCGCGGUAAUACGAAGGAUGCAAGCGUUAUCCGGAAUUAUUGGGUUUAAAGGGUGCGUAGGCGGACUAAUAAGUCAGUGGUGAAAGCCUGCAGCUUAACUGCAGAAUUGCCAUUGAUACUGUUAGUCUUGAGAACAGUUGAGGUAGGCGGAAUGUGUCAUGUAGCGGUGAAAUGCUUAGAUAUGACACAGAACACCGAUUGCGAAGGCAGCUUGCUAAGCUGUAACUGACGCUGAGGCACGAAAGCGUGGGGAGCAAACA
rnacentral:rRNA from 1 species